rnacentral:rRNA from 1 species
UGAGUAACCUGCCCUUCACUCUGGGAUAACUCCGGGAAACCGGGCUAAUACUGGAUAUGACUCGAACAGGCAUCUGUUUCGGGUGGAAAGAUUUAUUGGUGGAGGAUGGACUCGCGGCCUAUCAGCUUGUUGAUGAGGUAAUGGCUCACCAAGGCGACGACGGAUAGCCGGCCUGAGAGGGCGAUCGGCCACACUGGGACUGAGACACGGCCCAGACUCCUACGGGAGCA